CACUGGUUUCGGCAGUACAUAAGAUAAAUUUGGAAUGCUACAGAGAAGUUUAGCAUGGCCUCGCGCAAGUUGUUUUGCAAACUCUUGAAGCGUUCUACCUUUCC
rnacentral:snRNA from 1 species